rnacentral:rRNA from 1 species
UGGGGAAUUUUGCGCAAUGGGGGCAACCCUGACGCAGCAACGCCGCGUGCGGGACGACGGCCUUCGGGUUGUAAACCGCUUUCAGCAGGGAAGAAAUUCGACGGUACCUGCAGAAGAAGCUCCGGCUAACUACGUGCCAGCAGCCGCGGUAAUACGUAGGGAGCGAGCGUUAUCCGGAUUCAUUGGGCGUAAAGAGCGCGUAGGCGGCCUCUCAAGCGGGAUCUCUAAUCCGAGGGCUCAACCCCCGGCCGGAUCCCGAACUGGGGGGCUCGAGUUCGGUAGAGGCAGGCGGAAUUCCCGGUGUAGCGGUGGAAUGCGCAGAUAUCGGGACGAACACCGAUGGCGAAGGCAGCCUGCUGGGCCGCAACUGACGCUGAGGCGCGAAAGCUAGGGGAGCGAACAGG